rnacentral:tRNA from 1 species
GGGUACAGCUUAGUGGGAGAGUGUAUGCUUAGCAUGCAUGAGGUCCUGGGUUCAAUCCCCAGUACCUCCA